AAAAAAUUAGUUAAACCUUUCAAUAACAUUAGUUUGUCAAACUAAAAUUAUUUUUUUAAAAAUAUUUUUUA
rnacentral:tRNA from 1 species